rnacentral:rRNA from 1 species
UGCGAGUUGAUGGAAUACCUAAAUUUUCCAUAGCAAACUGCUCAGUAACACAUGAUCAACUUACCCUAUAGAGAAAAAUAACCUCGGGAAACUGAGGAUAAUGUUUCAUAGUUGAAAAGGCUUGGAAAAGUUUUUCAAUCAAAAGGAUAAGAAAAAUGGUUCUUCUCCGCUAUAGGAUAGGAUCGUGGUCGAUUAUGGUUGUUGGUGAGGUAAUGGCUCACCAAGCCGAUAAUCGAUAGGGGCCGUGAGAGCGGGAGCCCCGAGAUGGGUACUGAGACAACGACCCAGGCCUUACGAGGCGCAGCAGGCGCGAAACCUCCGCAAUACACGAAAGUGUGACGGGGUUACCCAAAGUGUUCAGUUUUGAACUGUGGUAGGUGAGUAACGUCCCCUACUAGAAAGGAGAGGGCAAGGCUGGUGCCAGCCGCCGCGGUAAAACCAGCUCUUCAAGUGGUCGGGAUAAUUAUUGGGCUUAAAGUGUCCGUAGCCGGUUUAGUAAGUUCCUGGUAAAAUCGGGUAGCUUAACUAUCUGUAUGCUAGGAAUACUGCUAAACUAGAGGGCGGGAGAGGUCUGAGGUACUACAGGGAUAGGGGUGAAAUCUUAUAAUCCUUGUAGGACCACCAGUGGCGAAGGCGUCAGACUGGAACGUGCCUGACGGUGAGGGACGAAAGCCAGGGGAGCGAACCGGAUUAGAUACCCGGGUAGUCCUGGCCGUAAACGAUGCAUACUAGGUGAU